rnacentral:rRNA from 1 species
UACGUAGGGGGCGAGCGUUACCCGGAAUUACUGGGCGUCAAGAGCUCGUAGGUGGUUUGUCGCGUUGUUCGUGAAAACUCACAGCUUAACUGUGGGCGUGCGGGCGAUACGGGCAGGCUGGAGGCGGGCAGGGGAGAACGGAAUUCCCGGUGUAGCGGUGAAAUGCGCAGAUAUCGGGAGGAACACCGGUGGCGAAGGCGGUUCUCUGGGCCUGUACUGACGCUGAGGAGCGAAAGCGUGGGGAGCGAACAGG